ACAGAAAUCUCUACCAGAUGCCAUGAGACACAAAGGCCACAGAACACGCCAUGACAUUUGGUCUACCUUUCUCAUCCCCUAUUUGUCUCCAAGUCCUGGACCAUCUGAACUUGUAAGAAAUUAUCCAUGAAUUGAAAGUUAAAGAAGAGGUCAGAAAUAGGUAAGUAGAUCACCAUAAAAAUAAAUUGGUUUCAAAUUAGGGAGUUUUAAUUUUCUCUUUAGGCAUUAGGAAACGAAGGCCCAGGAUAAAAAUGUUGAAGUAAGUUUCUCAGAAUUACCUAUUUGCUUAGCAUACCUGGGAUAAUCUGCAGAGCAUUUUACCAAAUGUCUUUAAUAUAUGAUUUAACUAAUUUCUCAAAAAAAUAUUGUAAAGUAGGUAGGGAGAGUUUUAUUUUCAAAAUUUUACAGGUAAAGGGACUGAAAUUCAGACAGAUAAGUAAUUUGCCCAAGACAACCCAGCUUGGGAGUCAUGAUCCCUUCAAGCUGGUUCUUUUUGACUCUGUGAACUUUCCAUUAUUCUAAAUUGCCUCCAAAUUUAAGUUCCUUUUUUUCUCCAUUUGGUAGUCAAGCAUAAUGAAAAGCUAAAGCAUGAGGAAAGAAAGAAAAAUGGGCAGAAUUACCUGUGCAUCUAAUUCCACAGGUGAUAGUUUUCUUAAUUAAAUACUGAAUACCACCUCAUCAGAUUGGUGGAAGAGAAAAAUCUAGAACUUUGGUAAUGCUACUUCAUAGAGGAGCCCCUCUUUGCACUCUUAGAAUCUAUUCUUCCUCUUCUUAGAGGACCCUCAACAUUUCCUCUCAAAAUCCCCUCAAAAUUAAUGCAGUCUCAAAAAAAGGAAAAAUGAAUUUUGCUUAAAAACACAAAGACAUAGGGCCCUAAGAAAUGUAUCACAUCAGAAAUGCAAUUUUAAUGGCCUAAGUUAUAUAAAUGACACAUAGUAAGACAUUAUAAUUACCUAUUAUUUACUUGUGUGUUCUAAGAAUUACUGAAAAUUAAUUGGGAGCAAGAUUAACAAGUUUAAUCACUUUAUGAAAUAUUCAUGAGCGUUCAUAAAAACCACCAGACAUUUCUUUAAUGAAUUAAUGGUAUUUAAUAUCUUUUCACAGAAUUUAAGGAUGGAAAAACUCCAUUAGAUAAUUCAGUGUAUGUUUUUGAAGUUACUGUCAGUCUCCCUGCAGAAAGGGCUACCACACAUUGUUCUUAGCUGACAGAUCUAUCCAUAGUCAUGCAAGCGAUUCUUUUCUGCUUUUAAUAAUGAACUAGAUUCUCCCAUCACAGUCAAUUGGACAUGACAACAACAAUAACAAAAAUGUUCUUGCAGAUGGACAGCACUUAUACUUUUCAAAACAUACAUUCUGGUCUCGGGGCAGGAUAUCCAUUGAUUGUUUUUCAUAGCCACUGUUAGGCCAGUCUGAGCUCUAGGUUUCAGGAACACCUAGACUCUUAGGGCAAGAUUUGAAAUUGCAUCUGUUUGUAAUGCAAAUGAAAAAGAACUGAGAUGAAAUGGCUGCGGUCAGUAAUCUGCAAGUGGGGCACACACCGUAUAUAUACUGUGAUGCUGAAAUGUGCUCUUCUUUUUUUUUUUUAGUUAUUAUACUUUAAGUUCUAGGGUACAUGUGCUCUUCUUAUCUUAAUUGGUUGUAUCCUCCAUCCACUCACUACACCUGCCCCCAUAAACUUUCCUUAAAUCCAGCAGGGAUCUACUAGUUGUAAUAAGGACUAAAGUAAACAAACUAGAUAAUUGAAUUUUAACAGUAUGUCAAGGAAGUAUUACUGACAAAAUGAGAGGAGAUAAUAAAUGAAAAGGGGAUAUUAAGAAUAAAAUUUUUAAAAGGCAAAGAAGAAUUUGAUGCAUAAUUUAGGCAUGUGGGAUACUCAAUAAUGACUUACCUUUGUUAUCCUCAUCAAGGUGUCUCCAAGACUAUUCAGGGAGAGUGUACUUGGCUCUGUUUAUGGAAAUCUUGCUGGUUCUAUUUCUGAGGGUGUUUUAGUGAACUUUUAGAUAAUCUUUUAAUUUCUAGGGCUAGGUUCAUGAAAAUCGGCCACUCAGAAUGCUAUCACUUUUGAAUGAGCUUGGAAAUCUGAUUUUUUAGUAUAAAAAGUGGAGGACAAGAACUGGGACUUACAAGAAUCACCAAGCACAGACAUUUAGUGAAAAACUUGAGCAGUCAGGGCUGUUACUAGCUAUUAGCGUUAUUACUUCUAUAGUGGAAAGAGACAUUUUCUCUUGCUGCAGAGUUAGAAAAUGGGUAAACAGGUAAAUUCUUGGAGGAAUUGUAUAUUUUAUCCUGAUUUCAUCCCAUUAUGACCUUUAAAAUGCAGGUUAAAAUUAUAAAAUUUUAAUUAUUUUGCAUUUUCAAAAUUAUUUUAGAUGGCUCUAUCAAAUACUUAAAAAUUUAGUUUAUGGCUUGAAUGAGAAAGUAUUGUGCACGGACAUUUGAAAACUAACAAAAUGUGAAAACAUGAGGAAAAAAAUCAUCUGGAAUUUCUCCUACCCAGAGAGAAUUGGUAUUAAUAUUUGGGUGUAUGUCUGUUAUACAUUUUUAUGCAUGGAAAUAUGUUAAAUGUAUUAAAAUUUUAAAGUAAUACCUGGACUAGUUAAUGAAAAUUCAGCCCAUGUAGAAAGGUUUAAAACAGAAAGGACAAAUCCCCUUUUCUGUACUGAGAUAAGCAGCUUUAACGGUUUUUAUUUUUCAAUUAUUCUGAUAGUUACUCUUGUAAAUGUAAAUACUAAAUGUUAUUGAUUUCUUUCUAGCUAUAUCAACUUCAGAAACACCUUAUGACUUCUCAUCAGUACAUUUUUAUCUCUAGGCUUGAUUUCUGCUAAUUUGUAUUAUAAUAUUAUCUUUAUGACAUUAAAGAAUGUGUUUUAUGAUUUAGUAACCUUAGGCAAUAUCUAAUGAUAUGUGAUUUUUGUUGAUGUUUUGGUUAUAUUAUUAUCUUUACCUUUUCAGGUUUUAAGACAUUUACAUUCCAUUAUAUAAUUAAAAUUAACUGUAACUGAGACUUCAUAUUUUCUUUCUGAGUCUAAAAUUUUAUAAUUAAUAAAAUAGGCUUUAUAAUAUUAUGAUUAUGUGAAUGUUAUUUAUUACAGAAUCAAAUAGUGUAAAUAGAUCCACAGAAGAAGAAGUAUAAUGAACCUGAAAUUGCUAAACCCCUUUUAAGGAAAAUUUUCCUAGCAUAAUAUAUGAAGUCUUGGUGGGGACCAAAAAGCUGAAGAAAUCAGAGAUAAGUGCUGCACAUUCUAAGGAAAGGUGCAAGACAUCUGCGUAAGACUAGCUUUUCUCUUCUAGUCUGUAGAAAAUAAUUCUACAAAUUUUCAAAGGAAGAGAGUGAGAACAUGAUUUUUAACAGCAUGAUUGAGAUACAAUUUAUACACUAUACAAUUCACCCAUGUAUAGUGCAUGGUUCAAUGGCUUUUAAUAUAUUCACAGUUGUGCAACCAUCACAACAAUCAAUUUCAGAACAAUUUCAUUACCCCUGAAAAGAAGCUCCUCACCCCUUAGCCAUCACCUUGCUGCUAUGAACAUUUGUGUACAUGUUUUUGUGUGUACAUAUAUUUUCAUUUCUCUGGGGUCCCUGUCUAGGCAUGGAAUUUUUUGAUCACAUGGUAACUCUAUCUUUAACCUUUUGAGAAACUCCCAGACUGUUUUCCAAAGUGGCUGCAUUACUUUACACUCCCACCAUCAAUGUAUGAAGAUUCCCAUGUUCUACACCCUGGUCAACAUUUGCUAUUAUUUGUCCUAUUGAUGAUACCCCUUCUGUUGAAUGCAAAGUGGUAUCUCAUUGUGGUUUUGAUUUGCAUUUUCAAGAUGGCUGCUGAUGUCAUAAAUCUUUUCAUGUACUUAUUAUUCAUUUGUAUGUCUUCUUUGGAGAACUGUCUGUUCAGAUCUCUUGCCCAGUUUUUAAAUUGGGUUAUUUGUCACUUUGUCGUAAAAGAAAGCUGGUGGUGUUCCUGGCUUCCCACAGCCAUGUAAAAUAGCUGUAAUGCAUGGACAUGAGAAAAGAAGACUGACAUAUCAUUCCCUAAUUAGGAUAUUAUGACCUUCUGAACCUCCCAGGUCCAGGACUGCCACUGAAUUGGAAGCAGAGCCUGAGGAGACAGCCACAGUGAAAGCGGCUUGUAUACUCUUAGAGUUUGAGGGGCAUUGGUGAUGAGCUUUCCUAGGGGCCACGUGGAUAUCUGACUUUUGAUGGCUAGAGUCUUUUAGAAGAGGCCCUGCCCAUGAGUGAUGCCUGAUGGGGGCAGGAGUCCCUAGGGAUGUAGCCCCAAUUUAAAAGCUAGAGCAGAAUCAAAAGUAGUUAGCCAGAGCAUGUGUCACUUAGGCAGUGUGGGGGACAGUGCACAGGUCCCAGUCUGGAGCUCUCCAAAGAUCCCUCAAAGCAGUCCAUGAGAUAAAGAGUUUACUUUUACAUGAGCACCAAUCAAGAAAAACUUUGUCCUUUCUGUCUACCCUCCUCAGGGUACUCCACCAGCCCCCAACCUUGGAGGAUCCAGAAACAGAAGAGGAGAAGUAGCAAGCAGAGAGCAGAUACAAACAGCACUCCCUGCAAUCAUUUACCCAUUUGUGGUUCUCUAGUUGCAAGCCAGUUGCUUAUGCUGGGGUAGGGAAAGGUGCUUUGAAAUGGUUUGUUUUGAUUUAAAUUGGAUUGGAUAUUUUCACAUCUGAAAAUAAUACUGUUCUAAUACCCAAAAGUGACAAUAUAAAAGCUAUAGGGAAACUUCCUGAGGUAUUUUCCAAGAGAGCAGAAAGCAGGUCUAACAGAGAAUUUCUUAAAAUAGUGGUAGAGAAAAAGGAAACAAAUUCUUGGUUGUAUCCCAUUGAAAUUAGCCUGUUCACCUGCACACACAUACAUGUGUCUACGUAUUCUCACAGUAUUGCAUUUUUUUCUAGGUUGAUGAAAUAUCUUUAAGCUCUUUGGUCUAUGCUUCAUAAAAGAUAGCAAAAUAAAAUUUUAUGGAAUUUCCAAUAACAGAACAUAUGGCAAAGAUGGAGUCAAGCAAUAGAACCCCAGUUUGUAACUGGCAAAUUCGGCAGCAGAGUAUACAGACCUAUGGUUUGUACUUCUGCUCAGGGCUAUUAAUAUUGUAAAUGACUCUAAUAACUGACUGCUUAGCUUACAUUAUGUGAUGAAGGAUCUUCAUUCUCCUGGGCAAUCUCAGAUCUUUUAAUAAUUAUUGGUUUAAUAAGUGAAAAUAUUCAGUCAACAAAAUGGUUAUUUGAAAUAAUACCAUAUGUAGAAACAAUUUUCCAAGUUCACAUAUUAAUAUAAUAAUGUGUUAAUUACAGAAAGCUGAUUGUUUGGGUAGCGCACUCCUAGAGGCUGAAGUGCAGCAACAAUGUGGGUCAGUCCCUGAGAGCCUGAGCUCUUGCAUUUUGGUCAUGUCAAGCCCAAGAUCAAGAGAAAGCUCAUGUGGUAAAAAGCUUGGCAUGACAUCUUAGAGACCCAGAGCACGGAGGCCCUUUACAUAAACAGAACAAAUCCUUUUCAGUGCUUUUAGACCUUAACAAACAUGGGGUGAUGUACAAAACUGCACUCCCCCCACUAUAAGGCUAGCCCCCACCCUACAAACCCCUGAACUCUUUUCAGCAUUUCUUAAAUCUGUUCCAUUGAACAAUCUGCGUUCAUUGUAACAAAUACAAUCUCAUUGAAUUAGAUUCUGAAGAGACUUUAUAGUAGAGGAAAAAAGGAGACUGAUCCUGUAUUCUCUUUAGUUUAAACAAGGAACAGAGCACAGCAAAUGAGAAAUCUUGGGUGAGCUAAGUUCACUGGAAUGGGUGGGGAGGGAUGGGGAAGAGGAAGGGGGGAAAUUGGAGAGACUUGUACCAGAUAAGGAAUCCAUUUCUAGGUGUCUCAGAAACAAAAAACCCAGUGUUAAUGUCUGUGCUUUAAUUACAUGACUGUUAGGUGUCA
rnacentral:lncRNA from 1 species